AAACCAGCACCUCAGGUGGUCAGGAUGAUUAUUGGGCCUAAAGCAUCCGUAGCCUGCUCUGUAAGUUUUCGGUUAAAUCUGUACGCUUAACGUACAGGCUGUCGGAAAUACUGCAGAGCUAGGGAGUGGGAGAGGUAGACGGUACUCGGGAGGAAGUGGUAAAAUGCUUUGAUCUCUCGAUGACCACCUGUGGCGAAGGCGGUCUACCAGAACACGUCCGACGGUGAGGGAUGAAAGCUGGGGGAGCAAACCGGAUUAGAAACCCCAGUAGUCC
rnacentral:rRNA from 1 species